CCUACUCUAAUAAGGUUUUGAUAUCUGGAGCUCAUAGGUGGGAUACAGCUAAUACAUACUUACAAGACAUUUAUUGCAUAGUGAAACCAUGGAUCCAGAAGAACAAGUCAAUAAGUCAAAUCAAGAUGUGCAUGUGUGGCGAUUGAAUGGUGUGCAUGGUGAUGAUGAUGAUAACAAUGGUGAAAGUCUAAUUCUACUUUUGCUCUUUUGAGGGUAUACAUACCUUUCUUGCUCUUUGAAGCUUUUUGAAGGGGAAUGAGAUGCUCUAUAUUUUCUUUUUCUUUUCUCUCAGGUGGGUAUCUUGUACCCCUAUUUCUACUGUCAGACACUUGUCCAUUUUUACCUCUUGUCUCACUUUUUCUUUUCUUCGAGGUUCCGGGCACUUGCCCCUUUUUAUUUCCUCAUAUCUUCUUUUUUGAGGACAUCCUAAUCGCUGUCGGGGUGCUGCCGACAUUCAAAUACACCUCCGCCACCUGCUAGCUACAUAAGAAGAAAUUACGUCAAAAUCCAGCUUGGGGGAGAGCACCCCCAUUUAUCCAGCUAAAAGUUCUACUCACGUUUAUACUGUACUCAAAUAAUAAAAAGCUGCGUAAUCAUAAAAACCCAAAUAAAAAUUUCGUGCUUAUAUAUAUAUCUUUGCUUAGUUUGCUAAAUAAAUAAAUAAAUAAAUGAAGUUUUCUAUGAACCCUCGUGAUAAGCUCUCACAUGGAAAUGAUGAAUAGUUGCUCUGCCAUGACUAGUUCUCAAAAUUGAAAUCUCUCUCAAGUUUUGACAUGACUAUUAUUAAUUAAGAUUUGCUCUAAACCUAAACUUGUGGGAAGAAAACUUGAUCUGAAGUCUAAGUUGUUAACGGAUAUGAUAUGGGAAGGUUGAGCUGCUGUUAUCUGUUCCUAGAGAUGCUAGAAUUCUGGAGAAGUUUAUCUUUGAAAAUCUUUAAAAUAUUGCAUGAUGAGUUCCUGUAUGCUGAGAGUUUAAAUUCCUACCACAGCCAUAUAUAUACAUGCUUGCUAGACUUCGAGCCACACAUUUACUUUUACUGCUUAUGAGCAUUGAGUGUGGUCAAGCUGUGUAGACCCUUAGGAGCUUGUCAUGUGGUUAAAAUCAAGAUUCACUUGCACGUUCACUCACACAUGCUGCUUCUACUCCAGAAGUACCAUCCACAUAUAUCCACCAAUUUCCAUCUCCAGAACCACCCAAAAAUAUUCUACUCCUAAUUCGGGAGAGAAUAGCCAAAAAUAUUUUUGUUUUUCCCCUGUGAAAUAAAUGCUCAAGUUAUCUUGUUACUACCACUUGCUAUAUUAUCUCAAGAGAUGAGUGCUCUAAAAAAAAGAAAGAUACGAGGAAAUAAAAAGGGGCAAGUGCCCGGAACCUCAAAAGAAAAGAAAAAGUGAGACGAGAGGUUAAAAUGGACAAGUGUCCGACAGUAGAAUUAGGGGUACAAAAUACCCACGUGAGAAAAAAAAUAAUAUAGAGCAUCUCAUUCUCAUCACAAAGUUUCAAAAAGCAAGGAAGGUAUGUAUCCCCUCAAAAGAGGAAAAGAUUUAGACUUUCACAAUUGUUAUCAUCACCAUAUACCAUUCAUUCACCACACAUGCACAUCUUGAUUUGACUUGUUGGCUUGUUUCUUUGGAUCCAUGGUUUGACUAUACAAUAAAUGUCUUGUAAGUAUGUAUAUUUUAUCUCCCACCUAUGAGCUCCAGAUAUUAAAGCCUUAUUAGAGUAGGGUGAGAGAAAAGGCAAUGUGACUAUGCCUUAUACCACAAAUACUACAUAUUUUGAGAGAAGGCAUAUACCAUCACUGCCUUGAUAAGGAUCCAGAAAUACCACAAAAGAGAGAUCUAAGAGAGUCAUACAAGGAAUCGCUGAGUUUUAUUUGAAAAUCUGCAAAAACUUCAGAGCUAUAGCUGAUCAAGAAUAAAAGACAUGGCACUUGACUAGACUGUUCUAUCUUUUAACUACUCAAGACAGAAGAGACGGUUACAAGUCCCAUGGUGAAAGGUAAAGUAAGUAAGUUUUAAGUCUUGACAGUUUACUCUAACUCAGAGAUGAGAUCUUAUUUAAAAGCAUGUGUACCAUCAAUUUUCAAAGGCAUUACAACAACUUCUGAUUCAUCACUGAGAUUUCCUUGCUCAGGGACGAGCAAGAGGUAAGCUGGGGGAGUUUGUUGACGGUCCUUAAGUAUCAAAUUUAAUUAUCAAAUAAGCAAAGAAAAGGAUCCAAAUGAAAUCAACAUCUAGACUUAGGGUUUUAUCUGACAGAAUUUCACGAGUUUUGGUGUUUGUCUAUUUCUGCAGAGGGUUAUCAGGAAAUAUGAAAGAAAGGCCCACACGUCGGGAUUACAUAGAGAUAUCAACGUGCCGCGCAAUUAUCUUACAUCUAGAAGACUCUAGAAGCCAUGGGAAGGAAGCGGAGGCUGAACGGGGCUUGGCCUUGGGCACCCGCCCAGGAGACCAGGGUGCCCGCCCACCUUUGGAGUCCAAUCAGGACUCUCUUUCGGGAUCGAUCUCCACCGAGAUCAAGCCUAGAGCCACCACAUCAAUUAGAUAUCUAUAUUAGUAUAGCUACAUAGGAUUAGAACUAGAAGGAGUCAAUCUUCGUUUUGUUUCCGGAUCUGUCAAGAGGAUUCUUGGUAAUUCUCUAAUUGUUCUUCUAAUUGUUCAUCUUUGUUCUUCAAUAUUAUGUAUAUGACUUUGUUCUACUGCAAUAUAUUGCUUAUGACUUUGCUCUACGUGUUUAUAUUCAAGAUUAUAUUGUUCUUAGUCUAUCAUAGUUAUAUACAUGGCUUAGUUAGAUUGGAUUUAUAUACAUGUUUAGGAUCGUAUAGCGUUUAUCCAUCGGAGCCAUGGGUAAAUGAUAGAUAUUGUGUAGGCAUGGUGCUUAUACUGUAUUUAUCUGCGAUUGUACCCUAUAUGCC
rnacentral:lncRNA from 1 species